rnacentral:rRNA from 1 species
GGCAGAGCCAACCUUGAAAAUACCACCCUGGCUAACCUAAAAAUCUAACUCGCUUCCGUAAUCCGGAAGGAGGACAAUGCCUGGUGGGCAGUUUGACUGGGGCGGUCGCCUCCCAAAAAGUAACGGAGGCGCGCGAAGGUUCCCUCAGCCUGAUUGGAAACCAGGCGCAGAGUGUAAUGGCAUAAGGGGAGCUUGACUGCGAGACAAAACAAGGUCGAGCAGGUGCGAAAGCAGGUCAUAGUGAUCCGGUGGUCCUGUAAUGGAAAGGCCAUCGCUCAACGGAUAAAAGGUACUCCGGGGAUAACAGGCUUAUCACGCCCAAGAGUUCACAUCGACGGCGUGGUUUGGCACCUCGAUGUCGGCUCAUCGCAUCCUGGGGGCUGAAGUAGGUCCCAAGGGUUCGGCUGUUCGCCGAUUAAAGCGGUACGCGAGCUGGGUUCAAAAACGUCGUGAGACAGUUUGGUCCCUAUCCGCCGUGGGCGCAGGAGACUUGAGAGGAGCUAACC